CCUACGGGGGGCUGCAGUGGGGAAUAUUGGACAAUGGGGGGAACCCUGAUCCAGCCAUGCCGCGUGUGUGAAGAAGGCCCUCGGGUUGUAAAGCACUUUCAGUGAGGAAGAACGCCUGGUGGUUAAUACCCAUCAGGAAAGACAUCACUCACAGAAGAAGCACCGGCUAACUCCGUGCCAGCAGCCGCGGUAAUACGGAGGGUGCGAGCGUUAAUCGGAAUUACUGGGCGUAAAGCGCGCGUCGGUGGCUUGAUAAGCCGGUUGUGAAAGCCCCGGGCUCAACCUGGGAACGGCAUCCGGAACUGUCAAGCUAGAGUGCAGGAGAGGAAGGUAGAAUUCCCGGUGUAGCGGUGAAAUGCGUAGAGAUCGGGAGGAAUACCAGUGGCGAAGGCGGCCUUCUGGACUGACACUGACACUGAGGUGCGAAAGCGUGGGUAGCAAACAGGAUUAGAUACCCUAGUAGUC
rnacentral:rRNA from 1 species